AUUAACAGCAGUGAGUGUCGCGACUGUGAUUCGACUGUGAUAUAUCAUGUUAGACUGUGAUAUGUUGUGUUUGGAGUUAACAUCUGAAGUGACGACUCAGUCUGGGUGUAGUUUUAUCUUUAGAUCUUAUGAACUUUGAGCUAUUUGUUUUGUUUUCGAGUUGCGCGUAAUGUUUGUAUGCCGAUAGAAACAUAAAAUCAAAACAACCGAGUGACGGGGUUGUAGUAGGCUGUAAUCGGAAGAUGUCUCUGAUAAAUUUCAGUAGUGAACGAGAGAGCAAUAAGCGACGAGAGGAAUUACGGACGGCGAGAGAAACAGCUUUAAAGAAGGCAGAGGCAGAGUUUUACCAGAAGAAGUUGGAGGAGGAGAGGAGGAGGCAGCGGGGCGACGACAAGUGGAUGGCACCGUCAGUCGAGAGUCGAGUGAGGGAGUCCAGCAAGUCUGACCAACAUAAAAAGUCGAAAAAGAAGAAGGAAAAGAAGAAGAAGGAGAAAAAGAAGAAGGCAAAGAAGAAAAAGCACCAGUCAGAGAGUUCCUGUUCGGACAGUGACGGAGAGGAUGAUGACGAAGAAGAGUGGGUGGAGAAGACAGAUGAGAAGAAAGAAGAUUGUGGUGACAGAACUAUCAGAAAGGAUAAUGUGCCUCAGGAAAGAGAUGCCUGGAUGAUCCCGACUGCUGACAUUUCGAACCUGCUAGAACGUGGAACGGACAACACUGAAAUCCGUGGUGGUGUCAGAGAAAAGCCAGAUAGUGACAGGCUGAACCUCGAUAUGAUGGGACAGAGUUCACGAGAGCUCAACCCGUACUGGAAGGACGGCGGGACCGGCUUGCCGGAAGACCGGCCCCAGCGGAGGGAGCCCGCGGCCCGACAGAAGAACGUCGGAGACGGCGGAGCAGAGUGGCUGCGGCGCGCACUGCGGCGGGCCGAGGAGCAGGCGGCCGCAGAGGGCCGCCCACUGGAGGAGGUGGCCGCCGAGCGCUGGGGGUCUCUGAGACACCUGCAGGACAUGAUAGCCACAGCAGAAGGACAGAGGGACGGCGGUAGGAGGCGACCGGCAUUCAGGAGGCCCGCCGAGGACGGCAGCUCGCCCAGUCCUGUCGGGGACCGGAGAAGCAGGGAGGAGCGAGGGGGUGGGGAAGGGGGCCACCUCAGUGGGGCCGACAGCCGCAGAGAGCGCAGGGGCAGCCCAGACAGGAGGGACAGGGACAGGGACAGGCGCGGAGACUCCAAGAGGUCGUACGGGCACAGAGAUCACCGCCGGCCUGAAAGAGCAGCUUGGAAAAAGUCUGACCCGAGAGUCGUGGAAGAGAGGACGAGGGGCAGAAGUAGUACUCCGACAAAUGCCGAAAAGACCACACGGAAACAAGCAGGCAGCAGUUCUGACGGCUCUUCAUCGGAGUCCGAAGAAGAAAAGGGAGGACCGGUGGGUGCUGGAGCCCCACUCACGGAUCUGGAGAUGAAUGAGCUGGCGGCCAAGCUGGUCAAAGCAGAAAUCCUCGGCAAUGAGGAGCUCGUAUCUCAGCUGCGAGCAAAGCUGGACGCAGCCCGUGCCUCUCGCAAAGCUGGCGACGACGACAAGCGUGGCCGAGAAACGCGGGACGAGGAGGAGGUUGUGGUGCUCACCAGGACAGAUGCCAGGGGCAACGUGCGGCCCGCAGCUGCCCCCAGUUUCGCGCCGGACAGGGAGGCCGACCUAUGGGGAGGUCGUCGAGGCAGGAAGGCGAACAGGAAGAAAACACACGAUUCCAAAGGACAACGUGUUCAGUAUUUUGCAGACGACUCUAAAUUCAGUCUGCAGGACCUGUACCAACGCGAGAAAUUCAUCUCUGCAGCAGACCAGCAGGCAGAGUUUGUGAAGCUCUCAGCAAAGGGUGUGGAGGGUGGAGCUGCAGAGACGGGGCGGCCGAGUGCAGAUGCGGAACACCGGCGGGCCGUGUCGGACAGCAGGUGGGUGGCGAAGGCGCUGGAGAGCUGCCGCUGGUGCCUGGGCGGCCGGCAGCUGCAGAAGCACCUCAUCGCCGCACUCGGCGACCAGGUGUACCUGUGCGUCCCACCUCAUCGCUCAAUGGUGGAGGGCCACUGUUUGCUCAUCCCAUCUCAACACGUCUCCUGCUCGACACAGCUGGAUGAAAAUGUCUGGGAUGAGAUGCAGAGAUUUCGCAAGGCCCUGGUGGCGAUGUUUUUGGGGCGAGGACUGGACGUCGUGUUCUUUGAGACGGCAGUACACCUGAGCAAGAUGCCUCACAUGGUGCUGGAGUGCGUCCCAGUUCCAAAAGAGGCAGGAGACAUGGCUCCUGUCUACUUUAAGAAAGCCAUCAUGGAGUGCGAGAUGGAGUGGUCGAUGAACAAGAAGCUGGUGGACCUAGACGGCAGCAAGAAUGUUCGGCGUGCCAUUCCCAGAGGACUGCCGUACUUUUGGGUGGGGUUCGGCAAUGAAGACAAGUUUGCACACAUUAUUGAAGAUGAGAAGCAUUUCCCCAAGAAUUUUGCUCAGGAAAUAGUGGGUGGCAUGCUGGACAUAGAUCACAUGCUGUGGCGAAAGCCAAAGAUGGAAAAUUUUGAUGCUCAGCGCCAGAAGGUAAUGCAGUUAGUUCAAUGGUGGAAGCCUCAUGACUUCACACGAGGAACGAAACGUUCUCAUGACAGCAGUUCAUCAUCAUCACCAUCAUCGUCAUCAUCAGACUCUGAAUGAUAAACUGUAAAACGACGUCAUGAUAUGAAAUGCCUCUGUUCCACCAAUGAACCAGCUACUACUAACAUUCAGGUACUUUGCCUCUGGCGAUUUCUUUCUGUCCAUUGGAGACUUUAUUGACACUGACAAGGAGACAGCCAGCAGGAUUAUUAAAAAUAUUUCUCAAGAGAUUGGCCAGUCUUCUUCUAGUGUGAUAGGUAAUUUAGGAGAAGAUGUUGACAAUGAAGAGACUGAUUAACAUAUUAGAGGAAGAAUACGGCUAAGAAAUAUGGAUGGAGUAGAAGAAUAAAAAGAAAAUCCAAAAUAACAACAGGUCAGGAAUACACCAACAUAAAUUGUAACACUGUGCCAGCAAAUGUAUUCAUGCCUGUUGAAUAUAACUGCCACCAUAAAUGCAGUGAGUAAGUUACUGCUCAAAAUCAGAAAAUGACGCAUAACAUGUAUUACCAGUUAUCUUCAUUGGACUCGCAAAUGACUUGGUUAUGUAAUGUUAAAAAACUAUAGUACCCAAAUGAUGUAAGAAAAGGUGUUCUAUUCAGGCACCUAACAACAA